UACAGAGGGUGCGAGCGUUGUCCGGAAUCACUGGGCGUAAAGGGCGUGUAGGCGGCUGGGUAAGCCGCGUGUGAAAUCCCGGGGCUCAACCCCGGAACGGCACGCGGGACUGUCCGGCUAGAGACUGGUAGAGGCGAGUGGAAUUCCUGGUGUAGCGGUGGAAUGCGUAGAGAUCAGGAAGAACACCGGUGGCGAAGGCGGCUCGCUGGGCCAGUUCUGACGCUGAGGCGCGAAAGCGUGGGGAG
rnacentral:rRNA from 1 species